rnacentral:tRNA from 4 species
GCUGGCGUAGCUCAGUUGGUAGAGCAGCUGAUUUGUAAUCAGCGGGUCGGCGGUUCAAAUCCGUUCGCCAGCU